rnacentral:rRNA from 1 species
AGUGAACGCUGGCGGUAGGCCUAACACAUGCAAGUCGAACGGCAGCACAGUAAGAGCUUGCUCUUACUGGUGGCGAGUGGCGGACGGGUGAGGAAUACAUCGGAAUCUACUUUUUCGUGGGGGAUAACGUAGGGAAACUUACGCUAAUACCGCAUACUACCUACGGGUGAAAGCAGGGGAUCUUCGGACCUUGCGCGAUUGAAUUAGCCGAUGUCGCAUUAGCUAGUUGGCGAGGUAAAGGCCCACCAAGGCGACGAUCCGUAGCUGGCCUGAGAGGAUGAUCGGCCACACUGGAACUGAGACACGGUCCAGACUCCUACGGGAGGCAGCAGUGGGGAAUAUUGGACAAUGGGCGCAAGCCUGAUCCAGCCAUACCGCGUGAGUGAAGAAGGCCUUCGGGUUGUAAAGCCCUUUUGUUGGGAAAGAAAAGCAGCAGGUUAAUACCCCGCUGUUCUGACGGUACCCAAAGAAUAAGCACCGGCUAACUUCGUG